rnacentral:lncRNA from 1 species
CCAACAACAAGUUGCAGUAAUCCAGACGGGAGAUGACAAGUGCCUGGAUUAGGACCUGCGCCGCUUCCUGUGUGAGGCAGGGUCGUACUCUGCGAAUGUUGUAGAGCAUGAACCUACAGGAUCGGGUCACCGCCUUGAUGUUAGUGGAGAACGACAGGGUGUUGUCCAGGGUCACGCCGAGGCUCUUAGCACUCUGGGAGGCACGCACCCCUGAGGGGCCCCAUUGUCAAGUAGGUGUCCUUUGGUCCAGGUGGAAAAGAGCAGUGUGGAGUGCAAUAGAGAUUGCGUCAUCUGUGGAUCUGUUGGGGCGAUAUGUGAAUUGGAGUGCGUCCAGGGUGUCUUGGAUGAUGGUGUUGAUGUGAGCCAUGACCAGCCUUUCAAAGCAUUUCAUGAUUAUCUGCAUAAUGCACAGCCCUUGUCACAAGGAUCUGUACACAAUUCCUGGUAGCUAAAAAUGUCCCAGUUUUCCCUGAGCUGCAUACUCACCAGACAUGUCACCCAUUGAGAAUGUUUGGGAUGCUCUGGAUCGACGUGUAUAACUGUGUUCCAAAUGUAAUGCAGAUGUAAGACGGUUACGGUAUCUGUAAGUGUGAGAAGCACAGGGAGGAGGUGAGAUGACACUUUUUAAUACAUAAAAUGUAAAGACAAAAAAGGAGAAGAGAGGAUGAGAGGGAGAAGCAACCUGGUCCACUUUGGUGGUGCUGCUGUCCCAGUGAAUCUCCAGGAGGAGACUGCAUGCGUGUGGCAUGCCCAAAGCCUGUGACCUGAAGAAGUUUGACGACUUGUACAGGCUGGGCACCAACUGUAUCAAGUACUAAAAGGCUCUGCUCAACUUCACCAACAAUUCGGUGUUUUUUGAGAUAUGUAACUUGGUGGAAAAAAUACUUUACAUUUCACCUAAUUUUAACAUUCUGUCAUAAAGAGCACAUGUUCAAUUAAAUAAAAAAGCAUGUUUUCCCAUUUCAAGAGGAUAAUAAAAAAAUGACUAAGUGCCAAAUAAAGUAACAGGGUUGACGAUUUAAUCGUCCAUCAGCCAUAAAUCCCCUUGUAACAGAGGGAAUGGAAGCUUGUUGUAUGCAAGAGGAAGGGCAAUUGAAUGCAAGCUCCACAAAAAAAAAAAAAAAAUUGUUAAAACAUUUCUAGCCUGUCUGUCUAUGGGUAACAGGGUUAACGUGUUAUGAUUGAUCCACUCAGUUUUUCACCAUAAAACACCAGAAAAUGACCAAAAAAAGAAUAGAACCAGCUCACCUGCUUUUACACUAUGAUUUGACUGUUAGAUGUUAAAUGUUUUUCUUUCAAAAUGUAUUUUUUUUAUUUUUUUUUAAAGGAAUAGUUUCAUUAUAUUCAAACAAGAUUUUAGUAACAGGGAUGACCUUAAAAUGAGGGACAGGUUUAUUAUUAUUCUUUUUUUAUCUUCAAAUUAAUCACAUGAAUCAAUAAUAAUCUUCAGAAAUGACUUUGUCAAAGAAACAGCAUAACUAGGACUUACAUUGAUGGUGACAACUUGGAGACAUUUUGAGGUUAAGUGGGUUAAAAUCUUCCUGGAUGUCACAGAGGGUGCAAAGAGGGACAUGUCAAAAUUCUGAAUUUUGGCAGUUUAGCAAGUCAUUAUUCAUAUUAGAAAUCUGAUUUAUUGAAUUCUCCAUGUAGUCUAUAUUAAAGGGCACUGCAUUGAAUAUAACAGGUUUUAAAAAAUCAAUAUGGGUGCACAAUUUCUACUUAACAUAUCAAAG